CGGCUACCUUGUUACGACUUAACCCCAAUCACUGACCCCACCUUCGACGGCUCCUUCCUUGCGGUUAGGCCACCGGCUUCGGGUGUUGCCAACUUUCGUGGUUUGACGGGCGGUGUGUACAAGGCCCGGGAACGUAUUCACCCCGGCAGUGCUGAUCCGGGAUUACUAGCAACUCCAACUUCAUGCAGGCGAGUUGCAGCCUGCAAUCUGAACUGAGACCGGUUUUAGGGAUUGGCUCCACCUCGCGGUUUAGCAGCCCUCUGUACCGGCCAUUGUAGCAUGUGUGCAGCCCUAGACGUAAGGGGCAUGAUGACUUGACGUCGUCCCCACCUUCCUCCGAGUUGACCCCGGCAGUCUUCUACGAGUCCCCACUAUUACGUGCUGGCAACAUAGAACAAGGGUUGCGCUCGUUGCGGGACUUAACCCAACAUCUCACGACACGAGCUGACGACAGCCAUGCACCACCUGUGCUGAGCCCCGAAGGACACCGCAUCUCUGCGGCUUUUCCCAGCAUGUCAAAUCUAGGUAAGGUUUUUCGCGUUGCAUCGAAUUAAGCCACAUGCUCCGCUGCUUGUGCGGGCCCCCGUCAAUUUCUUUGAGUUUUAGUCUUGCGACCGUACUCCCCAGGCGGGGCACUUAAUGCGUUAGCUGCGGCGCGGAAA
rnacentral:rRNA from 1 species